UGGGGAAUUUUGGACAAUGGGCGAAAGCCUGAUCCAGCAAUGCCGCGUGUGUGAAGAAGGCCUUCGGGUUGUAAAGCACUUUUGUCCGGAAAGAAAUCCUUGGCUCUAAUACAGUCGGGGGAUGACGGUACCGGAAGAAUAAGCACCGGCUAACUACGUGCCAGCAGCCGCGGUAAUACGUAGGGUGCAAGCGUUAAUCGGAAUUACUGGGCGUAAAGCGUGCGCAGGCGGUUUGCUAAGACCGAUGUGAAAUCCCCGGGCUCAACCUGGGAACUGCAUUGGUGACUGGCAGGCUAGAGUAUGGCAGAGGGGGGUAGAAUUCCACGUGUAGCAGUGAAAUGCGUAGAGAUGUGGAGGAAUACCGAUGGCGAAGGCAGCCCCCUGGGCCAAUACUGACGCUCAUGCACGAAAGCGUGGGGAGCAAACAGGAUUAGAUACCCUGGUAGUCCACGCCCUAAACGAUGUCAACUAGUUGUGGGGAUUCAUUUCCUUAGUAACGUAGCUAACGCGUGAAGUUGACCGCCUGGGGGAGUACGGUCGCAAGAUUAAAACUCAAAGGAAUUGACGGGGUCAUAGCUGUUUCCU
rnacentral:rRNA from 1 species